rnacentral:lncRNA from 1 species
UAUAUAUGUACAUCAUUGUAUAUAUUUUUGAUUAACAGUGUUUCUGGAUUCUUUAGCUUAGUUCUAUUGCAUUCUUAUCAAGGGUCCUUCUCAAAAGUCCACCUAUUCAAAAGUCUUGUUUUCCCUUGAUGCUCCUUUAAAUUUUUACUGGUUUAUAAAUACGUUAUGAAAGGCAUUUUUUAGUAACGUGUUGCAGGGGAAAUAGAAAUACCGAGCGUCUGUUAGUCCUUUCUUCGCCGGUCUAUCCGGCUUUUGUUAUCGCUCCCACGUGUACAACUUUUGCAAUUUUUUUUUAUAAAACUAUUCUAUAAAUAGAUUAUAAUAGGUUAAUAUCAGCAACAUGAUCUAUGACAAGUUCAAAAAAGGUUGAGGUAUUUAAAAGAGUUAUGCCCCUAAGAAGUAUUUUUUUGUUUUAGAAAAUGUCCUGUGAGCUGAACAUAUACAUGUAUCUCUGGGUUUUUUUGUUGCUGUCCUUGAGUAAAGUUCCAAAGAAACAAAGUUUCAGUUUGACUUGAGAGUUGAGAAACUAUGAUAAUUGCAAAAGACAAGCAAAAAUUCUGAAUCACUGAAUAUAGACCAUCAAAUAGAGCUGCCCUUCUGCCAAAACAAAUCUCCAUUUUUCGGAAAACAUUUGAAAUACUCUGUAGAGCCUCCAGGAUUACUUGGACAUGUCUUCCCAUUUGAAAAUUUCUGUAGUCGGUGUCUUUCAUGUAUUGUCAAAAUAUUAAUUUACAUGUAUAUAU